GGAGGAUCCAAGCGUUAUCCGGAUUUAUUGGGUUUAAAGGGCGCGUAGGCGGUUUAGUAAGUCAGCGGUGAAAUUUUGGCGCUCAACACCAAACGUGCCGUUGAUACUGCUGAGCUAGAGAGUAGUUGCGGUAGGCGGAAUGUAUGGUGUAGCGGUGAAAUGCUUAGAGAUCAUACAGAACACCGAUUGCGAAGGCAGCUUACCAAACUAUAUCUGACGUUGAGGCACGAAAGCGUGGGGAGCAAA
rnacentral:rRNA from 1 species